UGGGGAAUAUUGCGCAAUGGGCGAAAGCCUGACGCAGCCAUGCCGCGUGUGUGAAGAAGGCCUUCGGGUUGUAAAGCACUUUCAGUGGGGAGGAAAGAGCCCAGGCUAAUACCCUGGGUCGUUGACGCUACCCACAGAAGAAGCACCGGCUAAUUCCGUGCCAGCAGCCGCGGUAAUACGGAAGGUGCGAGCGUUAAUCGGAAUUACUGGGCGUAAAGCGCGCGUAGGCGGCUUGGUAAGUCGGAUGUGA
rnacentral:rRNA from 1 species